rnacentral:rRNA from 1 species
UGGGGAAUAUUGCGCAAUGGGCGGAAGCCUGACGCAGCGACGCCGCGUGGGGGAUGACGGCCUUCGGGUUGUAAACCUCUUUCAGCUCCGACGAAGCGAGAGUGACGGUAGGAGCAGAAGAAGCACCGGCCAACUACGUGCCAGCAGCCGCGGUAAUACGUAGGGUGCAAGCGUUGUCCGGAAUUAUUGGGCGUAAAGAGCUCGUAGGCGGUUCGUCACGUCGGCUGUGAAAUCCCGAGGCUCAACCUCGGGUCUGCAGUCGAUACGGGCGGACUUGAGUACUGCAGGGGAGACUGGAAUUCCUGGUGUAGCGGUGAAAUGCGCAGAUAUCAGGAGGAACACCGGUGGCGAAGGCGGGUCUCUGGGCAGUAACUGACGCUGAGGAGCGAAAGCGUGGGGAGCGAACAGGAUUAGAUACCCCCGUAGUCC